rnacentral:rRNA from 1 species
AUUGAACGCUGGCGGCAGGCCUAACACAUGCAAGUCGAACGAGUGGCGGACGGGUGAGUAAUGUCUGGGAACCUGCCCGAUGGAGGGGGAUAACUUCUGGAAACGGUAGCAAAUCCCGCAUACCAUCGGAUGUGCCCAGAUGGGAUUAGCUAGUAGGUGGGGUAACGGCUCACCUAGGCGACGAUCCCUAGCUGGUCCGAGAGGAUGACCUGCGACACUGUAACUUAGACACGGUCCAGAGUCCUACGUGAGACGGCAGUGGGGAGUAUUGCACAAUGAGCGCAAGCCUAAUGCAGCCAUGCGGUGUGUAUGAAGAAGGCCUUCGGGUUGUAAAGUGCUUUCAGCGGGGAGGCGUUACCCGCAGAAGAAGCGCCGGCUAACUCCGUGCCAGCAGCCGCGGUAAUUC